rnacentral:rRNA from 1 species
GACGAACGCUGGCGGCAGGCCUAACACAUGCAAGUCGAGCGAGCGGCGGACGGGUGAGUAAUGUCUGGGAAACUGCCUGAUGGAGGGGGAUAACUACUGGAAACGGUAGCUAAUACCGCAUACCAUCAGAUGUGCCCAGAUGGGAUUAGCUAGUAGGUGGGGUACAGGCGCACCUAGGCGACGAGCCCUAGCUGGUCUGAGAGGAUGACCAACCACACUAGAACUGAGACACGGUCCAGACGCCUCCGGGAGGCAGCAGUGGGGAAUAUUGCACAAUGGGCGCAGGCCUGAUGCAGCCAUGCCGCGUGUGUGAAGAAGGCCUUCGGGUUGUAAAGCACUUUCAGCGGGGAGGCGUUACCCGCAGAAGAAGCACCGGCUAACUCCGUGCCAGCAGCCGCGGUAAUUC